UACAGAGGUCCCAAGCGUUGUUCGGAUUCACUGGGCGUAAAGGGUGCGUAGGCGGUCGGGUAAGUCUGAUGUGAAAUCUCACAGCUUAACUGUGAAACUGCAUUGGAUACUAUCCGGCUAGAGGAAUGGAGGGGAGACUGGAAUACUUGGUGUAGCAGUGAAAUGCGCAGAUAUCAGGAGGAACACCGGUGGCGAAGGCGGGUCUCUGGGCAGUAACUGACGCUGAGGAGCGAAAGCGUGGGGAGCGAACAGG
rnacentral:rRNA from 1 species